rnacentral:tRNA from 1 species
CAGAAUUGUAGUUUAAUAAAAAUAAUGGCAUUGGAAGUCAUAGAUUAGGGAAUAUCCCUACGUUUUGA